UACAUAUGUAUGUACAUGCAUAUAGGCUGUAUAGGUUCUAUAGAAAUUGUGGCCAUGUUGCCAGCAGCGCGCUGGCUUUGCAUUUCCAAUUUACAUUUGUAUGCAUGUGCAGCAGCAGCGGCGGCAAGCACAGCGAAAAAGCAAACUGAAACCAAACCGCAAACAAGGCGACGGCGAAUUCGUUUCGAUCAGGAAUGAUCGACCAAGCAGAACAAGGAAUACCCAUUACACACUUUAUCAUUGGUCUGAUACACCCAGAGAUUUUCACUUCGUGCUGGGUAUUUCGAGACGACUUCAAGGUUAGCCAUGCCCCCCGAGAGCGAGUAGAGUUGGCGUCCGUCCCACGCACUCUGCUGACGUCGCAGUCGCAGUAGGCGUCACUCUGGAACUUUGGCUGCUUCCUUUUUGAUUUUCUUUGCCAGCUUCUCCUUCUUCCACCUCAUUGUAUAUACAUAUGUACAUACAUAUGUAUCUAUAGUGCAUAUGGGACGAGUAUGCAUGUAAAUGAGUUUCACCACAAUAUAUAAAAAUAAACAUUUUUUUUGUGCUUGCA